UAAGCUCGUUUUAGUAUCUUUCG
rnacentral:miRNA from 1 species